AUGCACAAGGUAGUUCACGGUCACUUCCUCUUUGGCACUAGCACAUUUUGCUGUUAUUUCAGUCAGCGAAAGUAUGCUAGUGGCAAGGAGGGCGUGGUUAUCGUACAUCCGGGCAACUC
rnacentral:pre_miRNA from 14 species